ACUGUAGUGACCAUAAUGCAAAGGGUUAAAAGAAAGUUUACAUCUCCAUAGGUUUUGUAAAGACAGCAACCGGUAAACUAAAUAACAUAUAAAAAAUAAAAUAAUAUACAAUUCUAAAAUAAAUUAGGAAAUGACAUUUAAAAUAACUGAAAUGUAUUUUCUGAAAUGUUUGUGUUUCUCAAAUUUAAGUAAAGUGUUUUUGAUACAUAUUGUCUUUAAUAAAAAAGAAUAAAGGAGCAAUGUAUCGCCACAGGCUAAACUCUCCCAGAGUCACAAGAACCAGUGUGGUGUGCCACCCCAAAAUUUUCUUUGGCCUGUCUUGUCACGGUCCGUGGUGAGCCUCCUGCAUUUCACCUGUAUUUUCUGAGCAUUGUUUUCAGGUGGGCGUGUCUGAGAGUCUCCAGCUGCAGCCAAUCCAGUCAUUACGGCCCAGGGGAUUUAAGGAGCAGUGUGGCACUUCACUUCGCCGGAUGAUUACUCUAUCUUGGGUUUCUCUUUCACACUCCACCACCUCCAUAACCAGCUUGGACUCCUGCACACCAGAUCACGCCGUCUCCUCCCCUGGCCGCUCGCUCUCAGCCGCUCACCUGCCUCCACCAAACCGCUGCUCCUACCUACUCUCUGGACCAACAGUCCCAUCACCUUCUGGAGCUUUCCUGCUCACCCGGACCUGACCAGUCCCUCCGGAGGUUCUCACCACUACUGCAAUCAAGUUCCAUCCUGAAAUCUUGCUGCCAGCCUGCCCGUCGUCUGUUCCCCUCGUUGCCCUUCAGUACAUAAUAAAGUCGUUUUACUUACUUACCGGUUCCUGUGUGGUGAUUCUGCAUGUCGUGGGUCAAAAGAUUGCCGCCCGCCAUGACAGAAUCAUCCGGCCAUAACAAUGAUCCCAUUGCAGAAUCCAACCCGUCCACUAGUGCUCCGCUCGCUGUUUCUGAGGUUCUCACACGCCAUGAACACGCCAUCCAUGGUUUACUGGAGCAAGUCUCCGACUCUCACCGACGAAUACUCCAGAUGGACACAAUGUUACGUAAUCUCACUACACGCUUAACUCCCUCGGAACCUUCUGCUCAGCCUCCCGUUUCUCCUCCGUCCGUACUUCCGGUUCCGCCCCCUACUGUAAACUUCCGGAUACCCAACUCGCCUCCUUCAGACAUCUAUUCCGGUGAGUUCGGCAAAUGCCGUGGUUUUCUGUUUAAUUGCCAGUUG